rnacentral:rRNA from 1 species
GAUGAACGCUGGCGGUCUGCUUAACACAUGCAAGUCGAACGGAAUCCUUCGGGAUUUAGUGGCGGACGGGUGAGUAACACGUGAGAAUCUGCACUCAGGAUGGGGACAACAGCGGGAAACUGCUGCUAAUACCCAAUGUGCCGAAAGGUAAAAGAUUUAUCGCCUGAGAAUGAGCUCGCGGCCGAUUAGUUAGUUGGUGGGGUAAUGGCCUACCAAGACGGCGAUCGGUAGCUGGUCUGAGAGGAUGAGCAGCCACACUGGGACUGAGACACGACCCAGACUCCGACGGGAGGCAGCAGUGGGGAAUUUUCCGCAAUGGGCGCAAGCCUGACGGAGCAAGACCGCGUGGGGGAGGAAGGCUCUUGGGUUGUAAACCCCUUUUCUCAGGGAAGAAGUUCUGACGGUACCUGAGGAAUCAGCCUCGGCUAACUCCGUGCCAGCCGCCGCAGUAACAC